rnacentral:tRNA from 1 species
GGGUCGGUGGUUUAGUGGUAGAAUACUCGCCUGCCACGCGGGUGACCCGGGUUCGAUUCCCGGCUGACACA